rnacentral:rRNA from 1 species
GUGUCAGCCGCCGCGGUAAGACGAACCGUGCGAACGUUAUUCGGAAUCACUGGGCUUAAAGCGCGUGUAGGCGGGCGGGUACGUCGGCGACUGAAAGCCCCCGGCUCAACCGGGGAAGGGGUGCCGAAACGGCCGGCCUGGAGGGGCGUAGGGGGACCUGGAACUUCCGGUGGAGCGGUGAAAUGCGUUGAGAUCGGAAGGAACGCCCGUGGCGAAAGCGAGGUCCUGGACGCCAUCUGACGCUGAGACGCGAAAGCCAGGGGAGCGAACGGGAUUAGAAACCCUGGUAGUCC